rnacentral:tRNA from 1 species
GAGGGUACAGCUCAGUGGUAGAGCACAUGCUUAGCAAGCACAAAGCCCUGGGUUCAAUCCCCAAUACCUCCA